rnacentral:misc_RNA from 1 species
AUGCGACUAUCAAUUUAUUCAUUCUCAGGAUCUCAAGUCCCACCCUUGGUACCUGGCAAGCUACGAUUGUACAGCAUGCGAUUUUGCCCAUUUGCCCAGAGGGUUCAUCUUGUAUUAGAUGCUAAAAAAAUUCCAUAUGACGUUGUCUACGUUAAUUUAACACACAAGCCGGAAUGGCUGGUGGAAAAAAAUCCAUUGAGUAAAGUUCCGCUGCUUGAACUCAAAGAGGGAAAUAUUUUAUACGAAAGUCUGAUCAUAGUGGAUUACCUGGAUGAGGCCUAUCCGGAACACCGUCUAUAUCCAAAGGAUCCUUUAUUGAAGGCUCAAGAAAAGCUACUUAUCGAAAGAUUUGGUGCUAUAAUAGUACUUAUGAACAAGGUCUAUUAUACCCCGACCAUGGAACGUGAGCAGUUUGUUGAGAUUCUGAACGGCCUUGAAAUCUUUGAUAGAGAACUCGUUAGGAGAGGAACUCCAUUCUUCGGUGGUAAACAACCUGGAAUGGUGGAUCUGAUGAUAUGGCCGUGGUGCGAGCGAGCAGAUUUGAUCAGGAUUUUGAGGGGAGAUCAGUUUGUCCUUCCUCGUGAACGAAUACUCAGACUGCUGGAAUGGAGAAGUGCGAUGAAAGAAGACGAGGCUGUGAAAGGUAGUUAUUUAGACGGAGAAACACAUGCCAAGUUCAUACGCAGUAGGCAAGCUGGCUCAGCCCAAUACGACUUCCUUAUUGCACAAUGAGUGCCUUUUGCGACGAUGUACUACUGCUGAUAAUGAAAUAAUGUACUUAUGCAAUAUUUUAAUGAAAUGACAGGACCAUUUAUUUGUUGCUGAAUACUAAUACGACUGAUACCACCAUUCCACCUGGCACCCGCAAAAGCAGCCUUCUCUCACUGGGGUCUCGUGUUCAGCAACGAAUAAAUGACCGUGUAGAUUGCCCUGUAAAACUUAAAAUACAUGUAAUAAUAAAGUUGUAAAAAAGUAUCAAA